rnacentral:rRNA from 1 species
UACGUAGGUGGCAAGCGUUGUCCGGAAUUAUUGGGCGUAAAGGGCGCGUAGGCGGUACCCUAAGUCAGAUGUGAAAACCCGGGGCUUAACUCCGGACGUGCAUUUGAAACUGGGGAACUUGAGUGCAGGAGAGGUAAGUGGAAUUCCUAGUGUAGCGGUGAAAUGCGUAGAUAUUAGGAGGAACACCAGUGGCGAAGGCGACUUACUGGACUGUAACUGACGCUGAGGCGCGAAAGCGUGGGGAGCAAACAGG